GGUCCUCACGGUUUUAAAGUUACGGCGUUCCGUACGUAUUAGCGUCUUUGGAAUCGAAAAUAAUAAAGAAUAAACUACAACAUAGCAUUUCCGAGGACGCAUCCAUCUUAAUACGAUUACUUUUUAGUUUUUUCAACAAAAAAAAAAACAAACGAAUAACCUCAAUAGAGCAACAAGUUGAAUUAUAUUGGUACUAGUUGUUUAAACCAAAAAUGAAAAGUUAAAAGAAAAAAAAAACAAAAAAGGGAUGCAACACGAGGACUUCCCGGGUGGUCACCCAUCCUAGUACUACUCUCGCCCAAGCACGCUUAACUGCGGAGUUCUGAUGGGAUCCGGUGCAUUAGUGCUGGUAUGAUCGCAUCCGUUAGUACAUUGCAUACAAUCGCAUAUAUCCUUUACCGAGGAUUCAAGAGAUCAUUUGUAGUGGGUCCCACUUUGAUACGUGGACCGCUUUAGCCAGCUUCAACGUGCUCUUUUAUUUGGAAAAGACGCAUAAAUCAUGUCCGAACACUUUUUCGAUCAUUUAAUCUCUUACAAAUCACAAAAACCUCAUGGAAACACACUAAACGUCAAAAUUUGGGGUCGAACACAGGGCCCAAUGGUACGAAGACCCAUUGCCACAUUGUAACUUUUCGAGAGCUUUCCGAAAAGGUAUUAUCGCCUGAAUAGGUCCUCACGGUUUUAAAGUUACGGCGUUCCGUACGUAUUAGCGUCUUUGGAAUCGAAAAUAAUAAAGAAUAAACUACAACAUAGCAUUUCCGAGGACGCAUCCAUCUUAAUACGAUUACUUUUUAGUUUUUUCAACAAAAAAAAACAAACGAACAACCUCAAUAGAGCAACAAGUUGAAUUAUAUUGGUACUAGUUGUUUAAACCAAAAAUGAAAAGUUAAAAGAAAAAAAAAAAACAAAGGGAUGCAACACGAGGACUUCCCGGGAGCUCACCCAUCCUAGUACUACUCUCGCCCAAGCACGCUUAACUGCGGAGUUCUGAUGGGAUCCGGUGCAUUAGUGCUGGUAUGAUCGCAUCCGUUAGUACAUUGCAUACAAUCGCAUAUAUCCUUUACCGAGGAUUCAAGAGAUCAUUUGUAGUGGGUCCCACUUGAUACGUGGACCGCUUUAGCCAGCUUCAACGUGCUCUUUUAUUUGGAAAAGACGCAUAAAUCAUGUCCGAACACUUUUUCGAUCAUUUAAUCUCUUACAAAUCACAAAAACCUCAUGGAAACACACUAAACGUCAAAAUUUGGGGUCGAACACAGGGCCCAAUGGUACGAAGACCCAUUGCCACAUUGUAACUUUUCGAGAGCUUUCCGAAAAGGUAUUAUCGCCUGAAUAGGUCCUCACGGUUUUAAAGUUACGGCGUUCCGUACGUAUUAGCGUCUUUGGAAUCGAAAAUAAUAAAGAAUAAACUACAACAUAGCAUUUCCGAGGACGCAUCCAUCUUAAUACGAUUACUUUUUAGUUUUUUCAACAAAAAAAAGAGAAACGAACAACCUCAAUAGAGCAACAAGUUGAAUUAUAUUGGUACUAGUUGUUUAAACCAAAAAUGAAAAGUUAAAAGAAAAAAAAAAAAAAAAAAGGGAUGCAACACGAGGACUUCCCGGGAGGUCACCCAUCCUAGUACUACUCUCGCCCAAGCACGCUUAACUGCGGAGUUCUGAUGGGAUCCGGUGCAUUAGUGCUGGUAUGAUCGCAUCCGUUAGUACAUUGCAUACAAUCGCAUAUAUCCUUUACCGAGGAUUCAAGAGAUCAUUUGUAGUGGGUCCCACUUGAUACGUGGACCGCUUUAGCCAGCUUCAACGUGCUCUUUUAUUUGGAAAAGACGCAUAAAUCAUGUCCGAACACUUUUUCGAUCAUUUAAUCUCUUACAAAUCACAAAAACCUCAUGGAAACACACUAAACGUCAAAAUUUGGGGUCGAACACAGGGCCCAAUGGAACGAAGACCCAUUGCCACACUAUAACUUUCCGAGAGCUUUCCAAAAAGGUAUUAUCGGCCGAAUAGGUCCUCACGGUUUUAAAGUUACGGCGUUCCGUACGUAUUAGCGUCUUUGGAAUCGAAAAUAAUAAAGAAUAAACUACAACAUAGCAUUUCCGAGGACGCAUCCAUCUUAAUACGAUUACUUUUUAGUUUUUUCAACAAAAAAAAGAGAAACGAACAACCUCAAUAGAGCAACAAGUUGAAUUAUAUUGGUACUAGUUGUUUAAACCAAAAAUGAAAAGUUAAAAGAAAAAAAAAAAAAAAAAAGGGAUGCAACACGAGGACUUCCCGGGAGGUCACCCAUACUAGUACUACUCUCGCCCAAGCACGCUUAACUGCGGAGUUCUGAUGGGAUCCGGUGCAUUAGUGCUGGUAUGAUCGCAUCCGUUAGUACAUUGCAUACAAUCGCAUAUAUCCUUUACCGAGGAUUCAAG
rnacentral:lncRNA from 1 species